UACGUAGGGACCGAGCGUUGUCCGGAUUCAUUGGGCGUAAAGAGCUCGUAGGCGGCCACUCAAGUCGAAUGUGAAACCUCGAGGCUUAACCUCGAGCCUGCAUUCGAUACUGGGCGGCUAGAGUCUGGUAGGGGGAUCUGGAAUUCCUGGUGUAGCGGUGGAAUGCGCAGAUAUCAGGAGGAACACCGGUGGCGAAGGCGGGAUCCUGGGCCAGUACUGACGCUGAGGAGCGAAAGCGUGGGAGCAACAGG
rnacentral:rRNA from 1 species